AUGCAUGCAGAAAAUUGGGUGUGGCUGCUCGGUAAAGCUGGAGUCGAGAAUACUAGAUCCUAUCGAUGUGAGUGUCCUGUGUCGAUAAGAUUGCCUAGAACAGAGGGCAAUGGAUGGUACAGCUCUGAACACAGGGAGAAGCACAAUCACUCGCUGUUGCCGAAUUUUGGAGAGACGAUUCACUGGUCAUCUCACAAAGCACAUCUAUGUGUUUUCCCGAGACCUGAUCAAGCAAUCGAGACAGAACAACGUCAACCUUGCCAAGGUGUACAUCGUUAUCAGGAGUCUUUUUUGGAUUAA
rnacentral:rRNA from 1 species